rnacentral:rRNA from 1 species
UUAAGCGACUAAGCGUACACGGUGGAUGCCCUGGCAGUCAGAGGCGAUGAAGGACGUGCUAAUCUGCGAAAAGCGUCGGUAAGGUGAUAUGAACCGUUAUAACCGGCGAUGUCCGAAUGGGGAAACCCAGUGCAAUUCGUUGCACUAUCGUUAACUGAAUACAUAGGUUAACGAGGCGAACCGGGGGAACUGAAACAUCUAAGUACCCCGAGGAAAAGAAAUCAACCGAGAUUCCCCCAGUAGCGGCGAGCGAACGGGGAGCAGCCCAGAGUCUGAAUCAGCUUGUGUGUUAGUGGAACGGUCUGGAAAGUCCGACGGUACAGGGUGAUAGUCCCGUACACCAAAAUGCACAGGUUGUGAACUCGAAGAGUAGGGCGGGACACGUGGUAUCCUGUCUGAAUAUGGGGGGACCAUCCUCCAAGGCUAAAUACUCCUGACUGACCGAUAGUGAACCAGUACCGUGAGGGAAAGGCGAAAAGAACCCCGGCGAGGGGAGUGAAAAAGAACCUGAAACCGUGUACGUACAAGCAGUGGGAGCACCUUCGGGUGUGACUGCGUACCUUUUGUAUAAUGGGUCAGCGACUUAUAUUCUGUAGCAAGGUUAACCGUAUAGGGGAGCCGCAGGGAAACCGAGUCUUAACUGGGCGUUAAGUUGCAGGGUAUAGACCCGAAACCCGGUGAUCUAGCCAUGGGCAGGUUGAAGGUUGGGUAACACUAACUGGAGGACCGAACCGACUAAUGUUGAAAAAUUAGCGGAUGACUUGUGGCUGGGGGUGAAAGGCCAAUCAAACCGGGAGAUAGCUGGUUCUCCCCGAAAGCUAUUUAGGUAGCGCCUCGUGAACUCAUCUUCGGGGGUAGAGCACUGUUUCGGCUAGGGGGUCAUCCCGACUUACCAACCCGAUGCAAACUACGAAUACCGAAGAAUGUUAUCACGGGAGACACACGGCGGGUGCUAACGUCCGUCGUGAAGAGGGAAACAACCCAGACCGCCAGCUAAGGUCCCAAAGUCAUGGUUAAGUGGGAAACGAUGUGGGAAGGCACAGACAGCCAGGAUGUUGGCUUAGAAGCAGCCAUCAUUUAAAGAAAGCGUAAUAGCUCACUGGUCGAGUCGGCCUGCGCGGAAGAUGUAACGGGGCUAAACCAUGCACCGAAGCUGCGGCAGCGACACUAUGUGUUGUUGGGUAGGGGAGCGUUCUGUAAGCCUGCGAAGGUGUGCUGUGAGGCAUGCUGGAGGUAUCAGAAGUGCGAAUGCUGACAUAAGUAACGAUAAAGCGGGUGAAAAGCCCGCUCGCCGGAAGACCAAGGGUUCCUGUCCAACGUUAAUCGGGGCAGGGUGAGUCGACCCCUAAGGCGAGGCCGAAAGGCGUAGUCGAUGGGAAACAGGUUAAUAUUCCUGUACUUGGUGUUACUGCGAAGGGGGGACGGAGAAGGCUAUGUUAGCCGGGCGACGGUUGUCCCGGUUUAAGCAUGUAGGCUGGUUGUCCAGGCAAAUCCGGAUAAUCAAGGCUGAGGUGUGAUGACGAGGCACUACGGUGCUGAAGUAACAAAUGCCCUGCUUCCAGGAAAAGCCUCUAAGCAUCAGGUAACAUCAAAUCGUACCCCAAACCGACACAGGUGGUCAGGUAGAGAAUACCAAGGCGCUUGAGAGAACUCGGGUGAAGGAACUAGGCAAAAUGGUGCCGUAACUUCGGGAGAAGGCACGCUGGUGUGUAGGUGAAGCCCCUGCGGGUGGAGCUGAGACCAGUCGAAGAUACCAGCUGGCUGCAACUGUUUAUUAAAAACACAGCACUGUGCAAACACGAAAGUGGACGUAUACGGUGUGACGCCUGCCCGGUGCCGGAAGGUUAAUUGAUGGGGUUAUCCGUAAGGAGAAGCUCUUGAUCGAAGCCCCGGUAAACGGCGGCCGUAACUAUAACGGUCCUAAGGUAGCGAAAUUCCUUGUCGGGUAAGUUCCGACCUGCACGAAUGGCGUAAUGAUGGCCAGGCUGUCUCCACCCGAGACUCAGUGAAAUUGAACUCGCUGUGAAGAUGCAGUGUACCCGCGGCAAGACGGAAAGACCCCGUGAACCUUUACUAUAGCUUGACACUGAACAUUGAGCCUUGAUGUGUAGGAUAGGUGGGAGGCUUUGAAGCGUGGACGCCAGUCUGCGUGGAGCCAACCUUGAAAUACCACCCUUUAAUGUUUGAUGUUCUAACGUUGGCCCCUGACCGGGGUUGCGGACAGUGUCUGGUGGGUAGUUUGACUGGGGCGGUCUCCUCCCAAAGCGUAACGGAGGAGCACGAAGGUUAGCUAAUCCUGGUCGGACAUCAGGAGGUUAGUGCAAUGGCAUAAGCUAGCUUGACUGCGAGCGUGACGGCGCGAGCAGGUGCGAAAGCAGGUCAUAGUGAUCCGGUGGUUCUGAAUGGAAGGGCCAUCGCUCAACGGAUAAAAGGUACUCCGGGGAUAACAGGCUGAUACCGCCCAAGAGUUCAUAUCGACGGCGGUGUUUGGCACCUCGAUGUCGGCUCAUCACAUCCUGGGGCUGAAGUAGGUCCCAAGGGUAUGGCUGUUCGCCAUUUAAAGUGGUACGCGAGCUGGGUUUAGAACGUCGUGAGACAGUUCGGUCCCUAUCUGCCGUGGGCGCUGGAGAAUUGAGGGGGGCUGCUCCUAGUACGAGAGGACCGGAGUGGACGCAUCACUGGUGUUCGGGUUGUCAUGCCAAUGGCACUGCCCGGUAGCUAAAUGCGGAAGAGAUAAGUGCUGAAAGCAUCUAAGCACGAAACUUGCCCCGAGAUGAGUUCUCCCUGAGACUUUAAGUCUCCUGAAGGAACGUUAAAGACGAUGACGUUGAUAGGCCGGGUGUGUAAGCGCAGCGAUGCGUUGAGCUAACCGGUACUAAUGAACCGUGAGGCUUAACCUU